AAAUAUAACAAAUAAAAAUUAAUAUAUAAAAAUUUUUUAAUAUAAUUAACCUUUAGUAUUAGGAUUAAUCAAAAAUAAAACAAAAAAAAAAUCUCUAAAAUUGGUAAACUAAUUAUAAAUAAAAAUUGUGAAAAAAUAAAAAUUUAUAACUAACGGCAAUAUACCAUACAUCAAUAUAUAUAUAGAAAAAUAAUUAUAAUAAUAGUAAAUCUUAUUAAUAUUUAGAUAUUUAUAAAAAAUAAAAAUUAAAAUUUAAAAUAAUUAAAAUUAAUAUUUAAUUUAAAUUUAUAACGAACUAAUAAUUAAUUAUUUAAAAAUUUAAAAUAAUUAAAUUAUUAAGAAAAAUAAAAACUUAAAUAAAAAACUUUGCUUUAAUUGAUGUAACUGUUUAUCAAAAACAUUUCUUUAAUUUUAUAAAGUAAAGCCUGCUAAAAAUAAAAGAAACAGCCGUUUUACGCAAAGGUAGCGUAAUCAAAAGUUUCUUAAUUAGAAGCCAGUAUGAAAGGUAUUAUACUUCAAUACUAUUUUAAAAAAAAAUUCUAAAUUUAAUAUUUAACGAAAAUUUAAAUUUAUUCACCAGACGAAAAGACCCUAAAAGCUAAACAAUAAAUGUUUAUUUGGGGAAAAUUGUAUAAUAUAAUCAAUAAAAAAAAAUUUAUAAAAAACUUUAAAAUAAGCUACUUUAGGGAUAACAGGACAAUAAUUAAAAAAAGUUCUAAUUUAAUUAAUAGAUUGUCACCUCGAUGUUGGAUUAAAAAUUUUAUUUGCCGCAAAAGGUUUAAAAAAUAGACUGUUCGUCUAUUAAUAUUUUACUUGAUCUGAGUUCAGAUCGGCGUAAGCCAGAUAGGUUUUUAUCUGUGAAAAAAUAAAAAAUAUAAAUAGUACGAAAGGAUGUUUAUACUAUUUAAAUAA
rnacentral:rRNA from 1 species